rnacentral:rRNA from 1 species
AGAGUUUGAUCCUGGCUCAGAACGAACGCUGGCGGCAUGCCUAAUACAUGCAAGUCGAACGAGAUCUUCGGAUCUAGUGGCGCACGGGUGCGUAACGCGUGGGAAUCUGCCCUUGGGUUCGGAAUAACUUCUGGAAACGGAAGCUAAUACCGGAUGAUGACGUAAGUCCAAAGAUUUAUCGCCCAAGGAUGAGCCCGCGUAGGAUUAGCUAGUUGGUGAGGUAAAGGCUCACCAAGGCGACGAUCCUUAGCUGGUCUGAGAGGAUGAUCAGCCACACUGGGACUGAGACACGGCCCAGACUCCUACGGGAGGCAGCAGUAGGGAAUAUUGGACAAUGGGCGAAAGCCUGAUCCAGCAAUGCCGCGUGAGUGAUGAAGGCCUUAGGGUUGUAAAGCUCUUUUACCCGGGAUGAUAAUGACAGUACCGGGAGAAUAAGCUCCGGCUAACUCCGUG